GCGUUGCUGAUGAGUCCCAUAAUAGGACGAAACGGCCGUCGAUUGU
rnacentral:hammerhead_ribozyme from 1 species